CGCUUCCUACGGGGCGCAGCAGUGAGGAAUAUUGGUCAAUGGGAGAGAUCCUGAACCAGCCAAGCCGCGUGAGGGAAGACGGCCCUAUGGGUUGUAAACCUCUUUUGUCAGGGAGCAAAGUCACCCACGUGUGGGUGUUGGAGAGUACCUGAAGAAAAAGCAUCGGCUAACUCCGUGCCAGCAGCCGCGGUAAUACGGAGGAUGCGAGCGUUAUCCGGAUUUAUUGGGUUUAAAGGGUGCGUAGGCGGGGUAUCAAGUCAGCGGUAAAAUCGUGGGGCUCAACUUCAUCCAGCCGUUGACACUGG
rnacentral:rRNA from 1 species